rnacentral:rRNA from 1 species
GGGUGCGUAACGCGUAUAGAACCUACCUUUUACAGAGGAAUAGCCUUUAGAAAUGAAGAUUAAUGCCUCAUAGUAUUGUAGACUGGCAUCAGUUUAUAAUUAAAGAUUUAUCGGUAAAAGAUGGCUAUGCGUCCUAUUAGUUAGUUGGUAAGGUAACGGCUUACCAAGACAGCGAUAGGUAGGGGUCCUGAGAGGGAGAUCCCCCACACUGGUACUGAGACACGGACCAGACUCCUACGGGAGGCAGCAGUGAGGAAUAUUGGACAAUGGAGGAGACUCUGAUCCAGCCAUGCCGCGUGUAGGAAGAAUGCCCUAUGGGUUGUAAACUACUUUUAUACAGGAAGAAACACUGGUAUGUAUACCAGCUUGACGGUA